UACGAAGGGGGCUAGCGUUGCUCGGAAUUACUGGGCGUAAAGGGCGCGUAGGCGGCACUGUUAGUCAGGCGUGAAAGUCCUGGGCUCAACCUGGGAACUGCGCUUGAUACGGCAGAGCUAGAGGAUGGAAGAGGGUCGCGGAAUUCCCAGUGUAGAGGUGAAAUUCGUAGAUAUUGGGAAGAACACCGGUGGCGAAGGCGGCGACCUGGUCCAUUACUGACGCUGAGGCGCGACAGCUAGGGGAGCAAACAGG
rnacentral:rRNA from 1 species